rfam:Sulfurovum sp. FS06-10 Sequence0000006783, whole genome shotgun sequence.
GCCUGAGUGGUGAAAUUGGUAGACGCGCUAGACUCAAAAUCUAGUAUAGAGAUAUGUGCCGGUUCGAGUCCGGCCUCAGGUA